UACUUUUUAUUUCGAACAUAUGAAGUAGUUUAUAACUACUUCCUGGCAUUGCAAACUUUGGCCUUUUCACAUUACAUUAGUUUUUUUAAACGGCACUGGGUACGUAUUGCUGUGAAAGAAGCAGGAUAUUGUUCAGAUGCUGGAUCCAGUGGAUCAAUUUUCGGUAUUUGGUAUAGAUUAAACUGUGGCUAGCCUGAAAGGUUAAAAUAAUAAUUUAUUUAAUUUCAAUACUUGUCCUGUAAGUCAAUCAGCUUCUUGACAGCCUUUGAAAUUGGGUUAUUUAGCGUUGGGUUUUUCAUGGUGUUUUUAACUGUCCUUUUUUCCUUCUUUUUUCUUUUUAUUUUUGAAUGAUUGUCUGUGAUUAAAAGCACAACGUUAUUCCUGUAACUCUGUUGUACAAUAGGAAAAUUUAACAACUAAGGAAAAACAUAAAGCAUUACUAACAGCAGAGGCAACAAAUGAUUUGAGCUGGUGUCAUGGUUUGCUUUACUUUCACAAUUAUUACAGUUUUUUUUAAUGAUAUUUUGGAAAAAGUGCCUUAGUGCCCUUGGAUACAUCGCCAUGGAACUGAAACACUGGGAUUUAAGUGACUUGCUGAAAGUUAUCCAGCGAUUUUAUUUCAAAAGAAGGAGAAGCAGCAGUUAGCAAAUGUUUGUACAACCUGAUUACAUAGCAGCGAUGUGGCAAGGCUGGUAUUUCCUUAACACCUGCUGCUGAUAGUUUCCUAAAAAGACCUGUGAAAACAGAUGCUG